CGGAGGAUCCAAGCGUUAUCCGGAUUUAUUGGGUUUAAAGGGUGCGUAGGCGGCCUGUUGAGUCAGGGGUGAAAGACGGUAGCUCAACUAUCGCAGUGCCCUUGAUACUGAUGGGCUUGAAUGGACUAGAGGUAGGCGGAAUGUGACAAGUAGCGGUGAAAUGCAUAGAUAUGUCACAGAACACCGAUUGCGAAGGCAGCUUACUAUGGUUUUAUUGACGCUGAGGCACGAAAGCGUGGGGAUCAAACAGGAUUAGAUACCCUGGUAGUCCACGCCCUAAACGAUGAAUACUCGCUGUUGGCGAUACACAGUCAGCGGCUAAGCGAAAGCGUUAAGUAUUCCACCUGGGGAGUACGCCCGCAAGGGUG
rnacentral:rRNA from 1 species